rnacentral:rRNA from 1 species
UACGUAGGGGGCAAGCGUUGUCCGGAAUUAUUGGGCGUAAAGAGCGCGUAGGCGGUCCGGUAAGUCGGCUGUGAAAGUCAAGGGCUCAACCCUUGAAAGCCGGCCGAUACUGUCGGACUAGAGUCCGGAAGGGGCGAGUGGAAUUCCCGGUGUAGCGGUGAAAUGCGCAGAUAUCGGGAGGAACACCGAUGGCGAAGGCAGGUCUCUGGGCCACUACUGACGCUGAGAAGCGAAAGCAUGGGGAGCGAACAGG